rnacentral:lncRNA from 1 species
AAAUGGAUCGAUUUUGGGCUUCCAUUGUACCAAGAAGCCUGGAUAUCUCUUGCUCCAAGAAACCAGGUACCACAUCCCAUGAAUUUUCCGAAUUUAUAUUAUCCAAUUAGUUAAAAAAAUUCUCAUAUUAUCAAUUACUUAAUUUUGCAUUAUUGUAUUAAUACAAAAUUGUGAUUGUUAUGAUUGAGAAAGUGUAUCCCUUGAUAAGUAAUAAAAAUACGAAUUUAACAUCACAAAGCAUCGUCGCUACGUAAAACGGUGCUUGUUAGGAAAAAAAAUAAAAAGGACAGGAAAUGAAAACAAAGAAAGCAACCAAAGUAUUAAGAGAUUUGAAAAGAAAAGAAAAAACAGUACGUACUAGAGAAGAGAUUUGCAAUCAUGGUUUAACUUAAGGAGUUUGGCUUCGCCUAUGUAAUUAUUGAGAUAUUAAUCAAUUCUUCCAAUUGGCAAUCACUUUUUCUUAGUCUAUUAAAGUCAUUUAUGAUUUAUAUAAACAUCCAUCGACCUGAGAAAAUCAUAACCUCGUAAUGAUUUGAAUUUUAUCAUUCUUCCAUUUUUUUGGCAAAAUCAUCAAUAACUUAUUCAUAAUCAAGAUUUUUAAAUAAUCAUAUUCAAUAGAAAUCAAAACAAGUUUAUUUAACCUACCUUGUGUCAUAGUUUCAGAUAAGAUUUUAACAAUUUUAAAUUCGAUAAAUUAGUUUUUUUUUAGUGUAUAGAAUAGGAACAACAAUAGUUAAUAUUCUUUUAUAAGUUGUAUAUGCAUUAGCAAAACAAUUAAAUGUUUUCGAAUAACUAAAUCAUAAAGUUUGAUUUUGAUUCAUUGUUGAAGUUUGAAUCAUAACAAUUGUAAUAUUUUUUUUUCAAAAACUUUGAUUAUGUAAUUAUGUUAACACUAAUAGUAAUGGAAGGAAAUAAUUUGUUAUAUUUUUCUCUUUUACGCUUAACAUUGUACUUAAAUUAUUGAUUCUUUUUCUGAAAAUUGUAAAUAAAUUUUGUUGAUAAGUUUAAUGGUAACUUUCGAUCGGUGACACUUGUUUGUUGAAGACUUCAAGUGAACUUUAUACUUGGAAAAAUCAGUCCAUUAUUUCAUUUCUAUUUAACUAUUUAAAAAGAUCAAAUUUCUACUCACCCCCUCCCCACCAUUCAUCACCUCACCUACACACAUGGCCCAUUUUGUUUUUCUUCAUCUGUUUCUCACAGGGUAUCAGCCAGGCCCAUUUUCAUCAUGUAUUUAGUUUUCUUUUUCUUUUUUUGUUAUUGAGGAGGGGCAAAGCCUCUAAACACUAAACUGACCCUCCCAGUCCUAAGAGAGAUCACAGAGGACAGAUCCAGGGGGUAUGAGUACGGAUUGCCCAAUCAUCACUUGGAGUGCCUAAAACAAAUAAUGAGAUGCCUUAAAUAGUUACCCAGAUAAUCCUGAACCAGAAGCCUGUUACAAGCAACGGGAGCAGAAAUAAGGACAGACAGGGUAAUGGUUGGUUGUAUACAAAAUUCUAAAUUUACUGACUCGAAAUCCAACAUUCCAUGAAGAUUAAGCUUAUGGGAUUGUAGCCUUUUGGAUUAUAUUCAAAUUGGAUGUUUGGUUUGCCUCGACAUCGAGACAAUUGGCAUAUAUAUAGGAAAGCAAACAAGGGGAAAGAAGGAAUUAUAGGAAUCUAAAACUUGAAUAAGUGAGAGACAAUAUUGCCUCAGUAUGACAUAAAAUUCGUGAUGUGAUACUUUAUCUUCCUUACAGCAUCAUGCCAGUAAUAAAAAUUCAUAAUUUUGAAUGUUUUCAGACUUUUAAAGUAGUAUACUGGUUUAUAUUCUGGGAAACAUAUUGGUAGAGUUCUUCCUCUUCUUGCAAAUUUACUCUAUUUUAGCUUGUCUCCCUACAUUUUGGUAUCAUUUUAGCAAGUCUUUCCCCCAAACUGGCUUUAUUUCAAUCUAUUUCCUGCAAGUUUGUUCCAUUUUAUAUGCAUUACAAAUAAUAUUCAUAUAUUCCUUCCCUACCAUAAUCUCUAUAAUUUCAACAACAAUGUCAAGAAUAAAAACUUGUCUUGUGGAGAAAUGUUAUAGGAGAACCAAGAACUUACAAUUAAUAACAAAACCAUCAAUAAUCUAUUUCUGGUGUUUAAGUAGAAUCCCCUAUAGUUCUAGAUACAUUUCACCUUUUCUAUCUACGUGUACAUCAAUUUCUUGUAUUGUCUUUCCCUUGAUCCCAAAGUGGAGACAUUCUUUGGAGAUAUAUGUUAAAAGUAAUAUUAGUUAGUUAAAAAUAAGCUCUAUAUAUAGAGCCCUUGGGUACUGUUGAUUGUAUCUUUUAUCAUUUUAAUCAAAUACAAUGAGUUAGGUUGUUGGUACUCCUUUCCUUUUCUUUGAAAUCUAUGAUGUGUGGUCACAUCAAUUAGGUGUUACUUGCAUCGAUCUCUUCUCCUUAGUUUUCUGAGAUAUCAACCCUCAGUUUUUAAUUCUUCUGUUGAAGUUGGUAAUAUCACCCAAGGAAGAGAUUCCACAGGAGUGGGACAGAUUCAUGGAACGAUAUUCUCAUGCAAAUGGUUUGCAAUUCAUGAAAAAAUAAGUUAAUAUGCAAUACCUUCUCUCUUCUAUACUUUGUCAUGUUUAUCUUUUACAAUUUUGUGAUAUAGUCAGAUAAAAUUCGAGUGAAGCCUAAAAAUAAGGAUAAUACUGAUGUUUAUGUAACUGGAAUUCACAUAAACAUAACCCAACCGAGUUCCAAUUUUUUUAUUUAUAAAAAACAAAGGUGCUUGUCCGGCUGUUGUUUAUAUCUCAUGUAAUUGUUUACAUUUCAAUGGUUCCCUCCUUGGUAUCAUUAUUAUGCUAAUAUAACCAACUUUUGAAUAAUACAACUUUUCUGUGAUCUCCCAACCUAGGUUAUAAAAAACAUUCUAUGACUAUGACCAUGAUUUCAGCCACAAUGCAAAGAUUUUGGGCUCUCCACUAUUGCACUCGACCGCAAUUUCAACUACAUAAACCACACUUGUUCACAAUUUUCUGUGAUGUCAAGGAUUGCAACAAAAUCACGAUCGGAGUUACAAUUUAAAACCUCCCAACUUAAUAGGUUACUUGGGGUUCAAAUCCUCUUUGAUGACUUAUUCACCGG